rnacentral:tRNA from 1 species
GGUGGCUCAGUGGUAGAGCGCUUGCCUUGCAAGCAUGAGGCCCUGGGUUUGAUCCCUUAGCACCA